ensembl:lncRNA
CACCUGAGGAAAGGAUGCACAGAGAAGGCAGCCAGGCUCUUUUCGGUGGUGCCCAGUGCCAGGACAAGAGGCCAUUGGCACAAACAGGAACACAGGAGGUUUCUUCUAAUCACCAGGCAGCAUAAAAUUGUUAUUUUACUGUAAAUACUGAAAGAAGUCCCAAAAUAAAAAAUGAAAAUAUCCCUAAUUUUGCCUCCAUACAGCUUACAUCAAGGUUUCUGGCAUCUCCUACGUAUUUCAAAACCAGUUUCUUUUUGGAUAUACAUGUCAAUUCUGUGACUUUCUGUAGGUACAUGGCAUUACGGAACACGCUUCAGGCUCCUCAAUCAACAGAACAGUCAAAGCGAAGAGUGUAAAAGCAGAGAGAUGGCCACGAUUUUGGUAAAGUUGCAACAGGUUUUAAGUACUAGAAGGCUACAACGAGGCUCCCUGGAGCCUUUUCUUCUCCAGGCUGAACAAGUCCAUCUCCCUCAGCCUGUCUUUGUAAAAGAGGUGCUCCAGCCUUCAGAUCAUCUCCAUGGCCCUCCUCUGGAUCCACUCCAACAGUCCUAUGACUUUCUCGUGCUGGCAGCCUCAAGCCUGGACGCAGUACUGUAGAUGGAACCUCAGGAGGUCAGCGUAGAGGGGACAAUCACCUCCCUCUCCCUGCUGGCCUCCCUCUGUUAAUGCAGCCCAGGAUACUGUUGGCCUUCUGAGCUGCAAAAGCACACUAUUGGCUCACAUUCUACUUUCUGUCUAUCAGGACAGCCAAGCCCUUCCCCACAGGGCUGUUCUCAAUGAGUUCAUCUCCGAGCCCGUUCUCACAUUUAGGAUUGCCCUGCCCAAGUAACACACGCUGCCCUUGGCCUUGUUGAACCUCAUUAGGUUCUCAUAUGCCCACUUUUCAAGUAUGUCCAGGUCCCUCUGGUUGGUGUCCCUCCCUUCUAUUGUGGCAACUGCACCACUCAGCUUGGUGUCAUCAGCACACUUGCUGGGGAUGCACUUUAUCCCAUCAUCAGUGUCAUUGAUAACGAUGUUAAAGAGCACCGCUACCAAGAUGGACCCCUGGAAGACACCAUUUGUCACUGGCCUCCACCUGGGCGCAGAGCUGUUGAUCACAGCUCUCUGGACACAGCCAUCCAGCCAAUUCCU